UAUCAUGGUGUACUUUCCGGGUUUCCGU
rnacentral:sRNA from 1 species